rnacentral:rRNA from 1 species
UGGGGAAUAUUGCACAAUGGGCGAAAGCCUGAUGCAGCAACGCCGCGUGAGUGAUGAAGGCCUUCGGGUUGUAAAGCUCUGUCUUUUGGGACGAUAAUGACGGUACCAAAGGAGGAAGCCACGGCUAACUACGUGCCAGCAGCCGCGGUAAUACGUAGGUGGCAAGCGUUGUCCGGAUUUACUGGGCGUAAAGGAUGCGUAGGCGGAUUUUUAAGUGAGAUGUGAAAACCCUAAGCUUAACUUGGGGACUGCAUUUCAUACUGGAAAUCUAGAGUGCGGGAGAGGAGAAUGGAAUUCCUAGUGUAGCGGUGAAAUGCGUAGAGAUUAGGAAGAACACCAGUGGCGAAGGCGAUUCUCUGGACCGUAACUGACGCUGAGGCAUGAAAGCGUGGGUAGCAAACAGGAUUAGAUACCCUGGUAGUCCACGCCGUAAACGAUGAGUACUAGGUGUAGGAGGUAUCGACCCCUUCUGUGCCGCAGUUAACACAAUAAGUACUCCGCCUGGGAAGUACGAUCGCAAGAUUAAAACUCAAAGGAAUUGACGGGGUCAUAGCUGUUUUCC